AAUUUCAGCUGAAAAAGUCAUGAACAUAAUAAUAGUUAUAGAACUCAUCAAGACAUACAACUUUUUUUUGGCCAUUUCUUCAUCCGACAAAGUGAUAGUAACAUUGUUCACAAACUUUACAUAUCUAUCUUAUAGUUUACAAAACCAAAUGAGAUAUAUAUAAAUUUUAUGAACAAUGUUACUAUCACUUUGUUGGAUGAAGAAAUGACCAAAAUAAAAGUUAUAGAUUUUGAUGAGUUAUACAACUUUGUUGUUGAUGAUUUUUUUCAGUUGAAAUU
rnacentral:pre_miRNA from 2 species